rnacentral:rRNA from 1 species
UGUGUAGGCGGUUGCUUAAGUUUGGUGUGAAAUCUCCCGGCUCAACUGGGAGGGUGCGCCGAAUACUGAGUGACUUCGAGUGCGGGAGAGGAAAGUGGAAUUCCUGGUGUAGCGGUGAAAUGCGUAGAUAUCAGGAGGAACACCGGUGGUGUAGACGGCUUUCUGGACCGUAACUGACGCUGAGACACGAAAGCGUGGGUAGCAAACAGGAUUAGAUACCCUGGUAGUCCACGCCCUAAACGAUGCAUAUUUGGUGUGGGUCAUUCAGUUGAUCCGUGCCGGAGCUAACGCGUUAAAAUAUGCCGCCUGGGGAGUACAGUCGCAAGGCUGAA